rnacentral:rRNA from 1 species
CCUACGGGAGGCAGCAGUGAGGAAUAUUGGUCAAUGGCCGGAAGGCUGAACCAGCCAUGCCGCGUGAAGGUCAGUGCCCUAUGGGCGUUAAACUUCUUUUGUGCGGGAGCAAUACUGGUCACGUGUGGCCAGACGAGAGUACCGUACGAAUAAGCAUCGGCUAACUCCGUGCCAGCAGCCGCGGUAAUACGGGGGAUGCAAGCGUUAUCCGGAUUUAUUGGGUUUAAAGGGUGCGUAGGCUGUGAGGUAAGUCAGCGGUGAAAUGCCCCCGCUCAACGGGGUGAAGUGCCAUUGAUACUGCCUGGCUGGAAUGCGGAUGCCGUGGGAGGAAUGUGUGGUGUAGCGGUGAAAUGCAUAGAUAUCACACAGAACACCGAUUGCGAAGGCAUCUCACGAAGCCGCGAUUGACGCUGAUGCACGAAAGCGUGGGUAUCAAACAGGAUUAGAUACCCGAGUAGUC